UAACCGCUGUGCUUGUUCAAGGGGGUGGGUACAGAGGCUAAGGUAACUGGUGUGUAACAGAAAGCCCCGAACUUUAUCCCUGGCCAGGAUGAGUACAUUUCCUUUCUGUUGUUCCCAACAAAGGCCAGCAGGCACAAAUGGUCUGCUAUCUGUGUCACUGGGAAGUGGAGAGCAAUUUGUUUCUAUUAAACAGGACUGUCCUCAUCUUCCCCAUUGGCCCUCCCUCAUCUCUCCUGUAUUGACUGAGAUGGCUUUUGUCCUGCAGGUAAAACUCUGCCAGUUAGGGAGUUUUAUUUGAGUUGACCAGGUAAGAAAUGUCCGGCCUUUACAUGGUUUGGAAGAGGCAGGGAUGACUUCCUGAAUUUUGUUACUCAAGUAAAAUUGUGGAGCGUCCAUUCGAAUAAACCGAUCAUCUUUUGAUCUAUUUUUUGGCCCAAUCCGAAUUCUACCCCUACAAUUAGUCCUCAAAACGGAGACAAAUUAAAUAAUAGUAUCUUUAAAUUGAGACGUUAUUCCCACUAGAUGAUGUCAUCAAUAGCUACGUUAGCACUCGGAAAGACAUAACAGCACUGGUUUUAUAACUUUGAAAAGGUUAUGCAAAAACAACAAUUCAUCGCUUACAUCUAAAUGUAAACUUCUUUGAUUUAGAGCACACAAAUGUGAAGAACACAGUGCAAUGCAGCUCGUCCUGCCUGUGAACUACAUGAAUUAAUAUUGUCACUUUUCUUUUGAUUAAUUGUUUAAUUGAAGAUGCCUUCAGUUUCAUAAGGCUUAAGUUGUGAAGAGAAAACGUUCUGAAAUAAUGUGUAUCUGCUUACAACAUGUAUUUUGGUUGUGAAAACUUUUAUUGUGAAAGGGCCAACAACUUCCGGUUUUUCGUGAAAUCUCAUCGCACGUCAAUUCAGCAGAGGCAGAAAAAAAGGAUAAUGGCUGACACUCGUGUGACGACAGAAACGGACUGAAAUUAUUAUUAAAUUAUCAUUUGGAAGGAGAAAGCUGGAACGAGAAAAGGCUCUCCUUUAAAUAGAUCGGUCAUUCUGUCCCCUUUGGAGGAAAGCAGCCCCAAAGUAUGAUGUUUCCACCCCCCAUGCUUCACAGAGAAUGCUCUAUCGCAGGGGUUUUCAAAUCCAGACCUCGAGGUCCGGCCUCCUGCGGGUUUUCCUGAAACCCCGCUUUAUCUGCAGCUGAUUACCUCGACCAGAUUUUCUUUAGGUUGUUGACCAGUUUUAUCCAAGUAGUUCUGGGCUGUUUCCUCACCGUUCUCAAGAUCAUUUGUACGCCACCAGUCUUCUUCAAGUGUACAAUCUCGUUCCUGGUGACCUGUGACAGCUCUAUGGUCUCAGUGAGAGGUUGCAAUCGAACUGUGAGAGAUAACCAGGUGUCAUCAAUACAGGGACUGACAAACUGUCCAGGCUGCACCCCACCUUCACCCACCGGUGGUCCCUAAAACGUGUCAAGGCCCCGGGGGCCGGAUCUGGCCCUCCAGGAUAUUGUCUGCACGGUGGCAUCAGGCCACGGCUCAGGGUUCAGAAAAAGGUCCCCUCUUGCGAUUUCCACAAAGUCGUCUAAAAGAAAGAAGGCAGGAUCCCCCAGGACGCUCUCCAUGGUGGCUCCCUCCACUCAUGAACAUGGGACAGACACCUCCAGCCUCCAGAUGCUCUCAGCUCAAUACGAGCCCCAAGACUGACAUCCACCCAUACUCUCACAGGGCUCUUUGCACGGCCCAUGGGACCUGCUGUGUUAAGAACAUGAUAUAGUAUUUACAAAAAAAUAUUUGUAAAUGGAGUCUAAAAAAAAAAAGUCUGAGCAUGCCGUUGUUUCCAGUCCUGCUGUCGUUGAGGAGGUAAAAUGUCAAGACGUGUGCCAGACGGUCAACCAACAUGUCCAUUCUGAUGAAAAUCAUGUUUUUGGUAGUUUUGACAUGUUAUUUUUUUAGCAUUUUUAUGAC